AUAAAAAGCCAGUUCAUGCUUUUACAGUAUGAAAAUUGGUGAUUUAUAAUAACUUAGCAAAUCGCAAAGUGAAAACAGGCGAUAAAUCAUUCAAGUUUCUGACCUAUCAGCUUUCGACGGUAUGGUAUUGGCUUACCGUGGCAGUGACGGUUAACGGGGGAUUAGGGUUCGAUUCCGGAGAGGGAGCCUGAGAAACGGCUACCACAUCUAAGGAAGGCAGCAGGCGCGCAAAUUACCCAAUUCUAACAGUUUGAGAGAGGUAGUAACAAGAAAUAACAAUACAAGGCAGUUAAAAUGCUUUGUAAUUGGAAUGAUAGAAAUUUAAACCCUUUUUAAAGUAUCAAUUGGAGGGCAAGUCUGGUGCCAGCAGCCGCGGUAAUUCCAGCUCCAAUAGCGUAUAUUAAAAUUGUUGCAGUUAAAAAGCUCGUAGUUGAAGUUCUGCUGAAAGUAACCGGUCUGCUUUUAAUAAAAGUGGUAUCUUGGUAUGUAUUUAGCAAUGAUGUCCUUUGAAGUGUUUUUUACUUUAUUGUAAUAAAGCAUAUUCAGGACUUUUACUUUGAGAAAAUUAGAGUGUUUCUAGCAGGCUAACGCUUUGAAUACUGCAGCAUGGAAUAAUA
rnacentral:rRNA from 1 species